CUGCUGCCUUCCGUAGGAGUCUGGUCCGUGUCUCAGUACCAGUGUGGGGGACCUUCCUCUCAGAACCCCUACGCAUCGUCGUCUUGGUGGUCCGUUACACCGCCAACUAACUAAUGCGACGCAUGCCCAUCCGCCACCGGAGUUAACCUUUGGCACCAACAGGAUGUCCCGUCGAUGCAUUAUGCCGUAUUAGACGGAAUUUCUCCCGAUUAUCCGGCUGUGGCAGGCAGGUUGCAUACGUGUUACUCA
rnacentral:rRNA from 1 species